GUCUUGUAAACCAAAAUUAAGAAAAUUCUUUAAAAACUUCAAAGAAAAAGAAAAAUCUUUAUCA
rnacentral:tRNA from 1 species